UUUCCAUUUAGUCACAGCCACUGUUCAUAAUUGGUACGUGUUAGUGUUAAAGUGACAGUAACAACGUGUUGAUUCCACCCAGUUUUAACCAAUAACAACGUAAUUAGUGUCGGUAUCCACCGCUUCCUUCGUCUUCAUCGAUAUACCCAAUUCAGUUCCUUCCUUCCUCUUCAUUGACGUUUUCCUCCAUCCCCACUAUUCUCUCGACUUCUGCCACCGGAAGCAAACCACCAGUCACCCCAGCAUUUUCAACGCCCCUUUAUCCAAUACAACACCGGCUCCUCAAACCUCAUCCAUAUUGAAGCACCACCGAUUGACUACUACUCGACCUCUGCUAUGUUUUCAAGCCUCACUGCUUCUUCUUUGUGAAGGAAUACCUGUCGAUUUCCCCUUUGGAGCCUGAAUUGCAUUUCGACCGCUGCUUGCUCUAGCUGUUGGAUUUCUCUCUCACACACUGAUCUCCAGCGUCUGGUAAGGUCUCUCUCUAUUAGUGAAUUUAUGUAUCGAUUUCUAUUUUAAUUUUGCUUUCUGUAUGAUUUCUUGAUCUUUAAUGCUGUAAAAAACCCCAAAUGUUGUCCGCUUUUUUUAGGUUGUGAAGUACUUUAAUUGAAGAUCUGACGAAGCAUAUAGUAGCUUACCAUUGUUGUAAUGAUAGAACAAAUUGAGUGGAUGAGGUGUUUUUAUUCAAUUCAUCAUCUUUAUGUUUGCUAUCCUCAUGUGUUUGGAUUUGAAGUUCACACAAGUCCUAACUUUUUAUCUCUAUGCCCAUUGAUUUUAAGAAAUUUAAUGUAUAUAUGGUUUUCUGGUCCUGGAGCUUAUCUGGAUCCCAUAUGAUUCCUUGGAUAAUUUCUUAAUUUGUUGUUUGUGAUACUGGUAAUUGGUCAUCUGACUUGAUUAACCCAACCUUUGUUCAUUUCCUAACAUUGCAAUCAUGGCUUUUUUUUAUGUUUGUUUAUUAACUUUUUAACUUUUUAUGUUGGUUUGCCUUCAAUUUAGAGCUUAUUGUGUCAUUGCUGACAUACUUCUUCUACAGUUAAUAAAAAAAAAUUUCUAUUUUUCCAGCUACUAUUGUUGUGGAUUUAUGUGGAUGGGCUGCAAAUUAGCACACUGACCAAAGUUUUGUCUUUCAUACAGUAUUUGUUUCUUCUGAAUAUUAGUAUUUUGUUCUUUCUUUGUUUAGUUACAUUUAUAUUACUCCGUGGUUGGAAUAAAGAUGUAGUUUUGUGGAAUUUGGGGAUGCUACCACUUGGAGUAAUCACAUCAGAAUCAAGAACAAAAUUUCCUUUUGUUGCUGACUCAUAUAGUGAUUUACUGUUUGUGUGUGUUUUCUGAGCUUAUGAAGCUGCCACCCAACUCCCCAGAGGCCAGGAUUUUUGAAGAUUAUGGAAGAAACACAAAAAAGAACAUCACCAACGUAGCUUCUCCACCAGUAUUUUGAGGGCAAAGAAGUGAAGCACACCGAGUGGGAUCGAAGCCAUCAAUUUUUAUUUUGGAAAAAAAAAAUGUGAUUCCAUGAUUGAAUAAUCGGAUUUGAGUUUAUAGAAAAAGUCAUGAAAUUCAUUUUUGUUGAAGUUACAUUUUAAGUAUGAUUUAUAGGUGAAUUGUUUUUUCUCAUUGUUAUGGUGUGCAGAGAAAUUUUUAUAAUCAGGGAUUUGUAUACAUUAUUGUUAUCAUCGUCAAUAAUUCGAUGAAGUUUAUCUGUAAA